rnacentral:rRNA from 1 species
CAGUCGCCACGGGAAUACGUAGGUGGCAAGCGUUGUCCGGAAUUAUUGGGCGUAAAGGGCUCGCAGGCGGUUUCUUAAGUCUGAUGUGAAAGCCCCCGGCUCAACCGGGGAGGGUCAUUGGAAACUGGGAAACUUGAGUGCAGAAGAGGAGAGUGGAAUUCCACGUGUAGCGGUGAAAUGCGUAGAGAUGUGGAGGAACACCAGUGGCGAAGGCGACUCUCUGGUCUGUAACUGACGCUGAGGAGCGAAAGCGUGGGGAGCGAGCAGGAUUAGAGACCCCGGUAGUCCCUGUCUCUUAUAC